AAUAAACCAAGUGCACAGGUGUGCCAGUGGCCCCCAACUCACAGACAUCAUUAUUUAGAUUAACAAAGGCCGAGAACAAAAAUAAGUCACAAUAUUUACCAGAAAUUAUGAAGUCAUCUUUACCCCAAUACUUUCACUCAUAGGGUUAAGGCAUUUAAUACAGACUGAACACCUGAACAUUAGUAUGUGCAUGGAGAAAAAAAUAAUUAAAGAAUGUGCACCUAAAUCUAACCAAUAUUUUCUCUGGAGAGUGGAUUUCGAGUAGAAAGUUGCAUUCUAUGCUACCUAUCUGUAACAUUUAUUUGUUUGCAAUAUUUACAUUAUGUUAUUAAUUAAAAAUAUACUAGGUCCCAUGUCCAGUGAGAAUAUUCACAUAUUCAGUAGUUGGGGAACAGCACACUGUUUUUGUUUUACUUAUCUUCAUGAGUGAUUAUAAUUCUAACAGUUCCAAUUGGGGAAGUUAAAUAUCCACUGAGUGUUCAGAAUUCUCAGGUAAAAAAGCCACUGCAAGUGAACACCCAGGACUUACAGAGCCUUGGUGGUUUCUAAUUCAAGACGUAGAUAGAACAAGAAUGCUGCUCUGGAUGUCCAAUUUGGAGAUUUCUAAAAGGAAAAAGACACAGAUUAAAAAUUAUGCUGGAGAACAAAAGUGAUUAAAAGGUAUCAUUCAAAAGAAAUUGUUUUUCCUUGAAUCACAGACAUUAUAUUUAUCUAAGGAUGAACUGGGUUCAAAGCCUGUUUCUAAUUCAGCUGCUCCAGGAAACUAAAACUGAUUCCAAAAGGAAACAAAAAUCAAAGUAGGAGGCCAAAUUCAUGUAUUCAAUGGAAAACAAACUAAAUGAGAGCCUGUGUAUCGCCAUGAGCCUGGGGAACCC
rnacentral:lncRNA from 1 species